AUACGUAGGGGGCGAGCGUUGUCCGGAAUGAUUGGGCGUAAAGGGCGCGUAGGCGGCCCGGUAAGUCUGGAGUGAAAGUCCUGUUUUUAAGAUGGGAAUUGCUUUGGAUACUGUCGGGCUUGAGUGCAGGAGAGGUAAGUGGUAUUCCCAGUGUAGCGGUGAAAUGCGUAGAGAUUGGGAGGAACACCAGUGGCGAAGGCGACUUACUGGACUGUAACUGACGCUGAGGCGCGAAAGUGUGGGGAGCAAACAGGAUUAGAUACCCUGGUAGUCCACACUGUAAACGAUGAAUGCUAGGUGUAGGGGGUAUCGACCCCUUCUGUGCCGCAGUCAACACAAUAAGCAUUCCGCCUGGGGAGUACGGCCGCAAGGUUGAAACUCAAAUGAAUUGACGGGG
rnacentral:rRNA from 1 species